GAUGAACGCUGGCGGCGUGCCUAAUACAUGCAAGUCGAGCGAACGGACGAGAAGCUUGCUUCUCUGAUGUUAGCGGCGGAUGGGAGAGUAACACGUGGAUAACCUACCUAUAAUACUGGGAUAACUUCGGGAAACCGGAGCUAAUACCGGAUAAUAUUUUGAACCGCAUGGUUCAAAAGUGAAAGACGGUCUUGCUGUCACUUAUAGAUGGAUCCGCGCUGCAUUAGCUAGUUGGUAAGGUAACGGCUUACCAAGGCAACGAUGCAUAGCCGACCUGAGAGGGUGAUCGGCCACACUGGAACUGCGACACGGUCCAGACUCCUACGGGAGGCAGCAGUAGGGAAUCUUCCGCAAUGGGCGGAAGCCUGACGGAGCAACGCCGCGUGAGUGAUGAAGGUCUUCGGAUCGUAAAACUCUGUUAUUAGGGAAGAACAUAUGUGUAAGUAACUGUGCACAUCUUGACGGUACCUAAUCAGAAAGCCACGGCUAACUACGUG
rnacentral:rRNA from 1 species